AGUUUGGCUUUAAGAAAUGGAAGAGUCACGUCACGGAACGACCCUGGGAAGACCGCUCAGAAAUCGUGAAGGAGCUCUACUCAGACCUGAACAUCGUCAGAAGCCCUUCAGGCUCUAUGUUGACGUGUGGAAAUGUCUUCUACUUGCUGUUCUUUGGAUGGUGGCUAUCCUUGCUCUACAUCCUGCUCUCUCUCGUGAUGUUCCUCACAGUGCUGGGUGCUCCCUAUGGGAAACUUUGUUGGAAACUUGCUGGGUACUUCCUUUGGCCUUUUGGGAAAGUGAUUCAAAAG